UUCCCACUUAGUUCAGUUAGUGCUUCUUUAUUGACAAGAUUAGCGGACUGUUAAUCCGUAUGUCACUGGUUCAAGUCCAGUAGAGGGAGUC
rnacentral:tRNA from 1 species